UCCAGCCUAUGUGAAAUAGUGAGAUCCUGUCUUGAAAAUAUAAAGAGGGAGGAAAGGUUGGCCUGUGGCUAAUCAGAAAGGGCCUCCCAUUCUUGGGGUCGCAACAGUGUCUUCCGUCCACUCAUUCGCUGUCUUUUUCCCAGGCUGUGGCUCUCUGAGGGCCUAGACUCUGCCUUGUUACCUUUUCCUAAGCUAUAGAAGAGGUCCUGCCUGCCCUGUGACGCUACCUCCCAGGGGACAGUAAUGGCCUCCCCAGGGGCUUCCUCCCAAGGGUCGCCCCACACAUGGUGCUCGAGGGCCCCUGUGGCUGUCUCUGAACGUUCAGCAUCUCACUCUUCCUCGGAGCCACCUCUGCCCAGUUGAAGCCCUGGCGCAGUGUUGGGCCUCCCCGGCCCGGGCCCAUACAACCUCAGCACGUUUUGUAAUCCAGCGCCGUCCUGUUCUGCCCUCAGCCCUUCUUCAUCAGCACUCAUUCUGGUUCUGAUUCCGGUCACUGCUGGCAUCAAUCCCUGUACUUCAGAGGUAGCGAUGGCAGCCCUUUCAGAGCCCGAGUGGCCACCCAGCCUUGCAGCCCCUGGCUCACGUUCCACUUGCUCUCCGACACUUCCCCUGCCAGCCCUGGCCUUGCCUCCUAGACUCCAGACCGCCUCGGGUUUGGCCACACCUUCCUCUGUCGCUGUGAUGUCUGUUGCUGUGCGCUCUGGGAGGCGGUUGUGGCCUCUUUCCAGUUGCCGUAGCAACUUCUAUAAAGAAACUGCUCACUUAA